CCCUCCUCGCGGAGGGUGCUUCAGUGCAGAGCUUGCGUUUCCCCCCCCGUGUAGGUUCUCGCCUUCAGGUGGAUGGAUUUUUAAGCCUCACGCGCCUUUCUGUCUCGCUACCUAGCCCUCCUGGCUUGCUCAGCAGAGUGUUUCUGGAAUGGUGUGCGCCUGAGGGGCGUGUGGUGGUCGCUGCCUUUAGAGCCCAGGCUGCUGUCACCAAGUUCCUGCACACUGACUACAGAAUUGCCUGUAAGCUAAGAGAAAUUUCUAGGUGGGUAUCUUCAUACCAAAGCUACAAAGACUAGACCUGGUACCCCAUAUAACAGCUGAUCCUGUGGGAACAAAGAAGACUUGAUUUGAUAAUGCUGUAUAACAGCUUUAAGACACCUUCCCCUUGCUUGAUGCAGGGAAAACAAACAAAAAACAUGUUCUCCAGUUCAGGGUGUGGGGGAAGGGGAAUCCAUGCCAAAUUUUCUUACUCUAGAGGUUGGUCCAGGAACAUUUUUUCUCUGUUCCUGUUUUAGUCUAUGCAGUGAAGAGCUCAGCAUAGAAAGCUGGAAAUAAAGACCAUUUCAUAGUAUUAUUUAAACUGAGCAAAACUUCCCACAAGUAAUAAUUAUGAAAUAUAUUAUGAAAUUUUAAAGUUAUAACACAAGAGUUUGAUAUUAGCAAGCCACAUCUGAGUGUUAUAUUGGCAUAGAAGCGUAUAGAACUGCUGCUUACAGGAUAUACUACCUGCAUCUUGAACAUGGAACUUGGGCAUUCAUAAAUGCUUAGACAACCAAAUUCUGUUGCGAAUGUUCAAAGGCGAUCAAACUGUGAUGUCAGUAGUACCACUAAGCAUGAAAGUACGUGGAAUGAGAUGAUGAAUAGGGAGGUAUAACUAAGUGUACAAAUCAAAGAGGAAAACAGAUGUUUUCUUCUGCAUAAUUUGUGUGCCAAGAGGAGCCUUAAAUAUUGCUCCUUUAAAAAAAAAUCACAAAUGGUGAUGCUAAAUUUGUUAUUUAGAAGUUUAAGUCUCUCUGUGAAGGCAAAGUGGCUCACAUUAUCUGCUCUCAAAUUAUUCUUGAUUUGAUGCUUUGAGCUACACCUGAACAUGAAGAGCAGCCCCUCUGUUUCUUGCAGAUGCAGUAAGAGCACAAAUGCCUGGGGGGAGUGGGUGGGCACACUUGGAAAGAAUACAGAGGGAGUCUGCUCUGUCUUCCAGCACUCAUCUGGGGACUGAAAUAGGGUGGUAAAACCAGAAAUGUUUAAAAAGGAGAAGCUGGAUGGUAAUGAAUCUCUUCUGCAAUUGUAGUGUGUAUUGGAAGCACCAAAUUUCACUUCUAAAUAUCAGUGCAGAAAGAGUUCUGAAAAGUGUGUUUAUCCUUGCUAUAGAUAAGGUGUACUAUUUUAUAUGAAUAAAUAUACUUGUUGCUCUCUUUUUCUAAUAUAAAUGAUGUUUCUGGGAAGUCAUUAAAACAACUUUUAGACAUGGCUUAAUCUCUGGCUUACAGGUAAGAGAAGGGAUAUUUUGGGGAGGGGUUGCAGCAUUUAACAUCUUUAUACACUAGAGCAGCAGAAGCAUUUUUUCUGCUUGCUUUGUUUUUUCUAAUUUUAUUAUAAGCUCUCAGACAUUAAGUUAAGGAAUGGGAUAUUGUGCAUUUAGCAGAGAUCCUUGUAGCUUUGCAUCUUUUCAAAUAUUUGAAUUAAGUAGGUAAAGCUAACAAUUUUUUUGUCAGGAGUGCUCCAUACACUUGUGUGUGUAGAAAAAGUUUUAAAAUUCUAAGGUAGGUGAGGUGGUGAAUCUUUAACAAAGAUGAAGCUGUUAGUCUAGGUAGUAACUUGACAAGUUAAAUGUGAUAAGUUACUGGACUAUGCUUGUAUUAAAACUUAAAAUGAGUAAGCAGUUAAUUCACACAAUACUUCAAAUCCUAGUCUAGGCAAGGCAUCAGUUGCUCAACUUUCUCUUUUCGUGUUCUGACAUUUCAUUAGUUUGUUAUCUUGUUGGCUUCAUGGCUUAGGCUAAACGAAACUCUAAAGUAGCUAAACACAAAAAGUAUGAUGCUGCAGCAUGAUGGAGAAACCAAAAAUUGCUGGAGGGAGAGUAGUAGCCCAGUUUUUUCAUCUUCCUUUUUGAUAAGUGGCUGAUGGCUUUGGUGGAGGUUAGUCUUAUUUCAGAAUAAAGUUCCUGGAAUGCUGCAGUGGGUAGCCAAAUUCUUACCUUCUUUCUGUUUAUAAGCAGCUGCCUUAGGAGGGGAAGAACCUGGCACUUAAUUACUAGAAACACUGAAAAAAUCUUGUGGUCAUUUAAAGACUGACGCUGAGAAGUGGUAGUAGUUCGUCGGGCACGUUAAUGUGAUUUUUUUUUCAUAUUUUAAUAAGCAUCACGUGUUGUGCUUGAAAGGAAUGGUAUUAUGCUAAAGAAGUUUGAACCCUUCAUUGUUUUUUUUGUGUAGAAAUGUAAGUUUUCUGGUCCUUUGUAAGUCAAAGGAUAGUCUAGGUAAUGAAACCACUACUCUGGUACUGAAGGUAGCACACUGGUAAACACAGCCUCCUCCUAGCAAGGAGAGAGUUGUUGAUGUCUCUACCACAAAAUGUUUCUCUCGUGUGUAUCAGAAUGCAGGAGCUUAUCUGUGUGGGAGGUAAACCCAGAUAGAGCUGAGAAUAAAUUAAACUCAACAGCAGUUACAGAACAUGAAUAUCUGCACCAGCAGAUAGGUGAAGGAGCAAUUAAAAUUUUUAAAUAAAAAAAUUAAAAUAAAUUUUAGAAAUUUGUAACUAAAAUUUGUAACUAACUGGAAUCCAAAAUAGCUUUCAAGUGGAAUCAGCAGCUUGGUGGCAAAAAUUUAGGUACAAAAAAUUUAAUUAGUUAAAGUUCGGUGCAACUUUUUUGCUAUUUGGAAAAGCCAUGAACUGGGGCUUGAAAAAACUUCAUUGCUUUGUUCCUAUAUAAGCAGUUUGGGGUGCUAGAAAGU